AGCGAACGUUAGCGGCGGGCCUAACACAUGCAAGUCGCACGAGAAUUCGGCUUCGGCCGAUAGUAAAGUGGCGGACGGGUGAGUAACACGUGAGUAAUCUGCCCUUCAGUUGGGGAUAACAGUCCGAAAGGAUUGCUAAUACCGGAUUCGUCGCCGAGACCCUCGGGUCUUGUCGGGAAAGCAGGCCUCUCCAUGGAAGCUUGCGCUGAAGGAUGAGCUCGCGGCCCAUCAGCUAGUUGGUAGGGUAAUGGCCUACCAAGGCUAAGACGG
rnacentral:rRNA from 1 species